UAUAGACAACCUUCCGAAAAAAAUAUGAUCAUAAAACCAAGAAGACUGGAACAUAUAUAAAGUAAAUGUAGUUACAAACACGCGGACUUUUACUAGCGGCACUUCGAACCGAGAAUAGCUGAGAGUUUCUUAACGCGCAGAAGGCUUACCACGCACUUCUUAUAAUGAGUGAUAUUAGUGAAUAUAAAAAAUCAAAAGAGUAUCGUGACGAAAUGCUAAUAAAAACAGUGAAAACGAUUCCAUCUCUAUGGAGUUCGCAGAUACCGUUAAGCAAAUAAACGAAAGCCAAAAAGAAAAUGCGAUGGAGACAAGUGGAAGAAAAUUUGUAUAAAUAUUUAAAACAUAUUACACGAAGCAAAGUUGCAAAGUGAUUAAUGACUGCGGAUGAAGCUAUGAAAAAGUGGAAAUAGGGACUGCUUCAAGUACUAAAAAGAAAAAAAAGUUCUAAAAAGUAUAUUUCUCUCUCCAACCUUCUCCGAACACUAUUUCUAAAGCCUUGUGUUCACGAUGAUAGAAUUCGGUCCGAAUUCUCGAACUGAGAAAUUUGUAGCCAAUCAAUUUGCAGCUUUUACGGAUAAGCGGCAAUUUUAUUGGCUAUACGUCUCUCCGAGAUCUCGGAUCAAGUUCUAGCAUUGUGGACACAAAGCUUAAUACAGAAACUUUGAAUAAGUCGGUCAUUUUUACAUUUAAUCUUUGUUUUUGUCGAUUCAAUAAUUUUACUUUAGUUAAAGCAGCUGUUAAUUUAUUUUUCAUAAAAUCCUUUUGCUCUCGUAACAAAUGCUGAAACAUAUCUGCCUGAUUUUGUAAUUGCUUUAUAUGGUUAUCUCUUAGUGAUUGCACAAGAGCUGUCAAACGUUCAUUUUCUGCUUUGAGAGUUUUAAUUUGUGAUUCUGAAUCAUCUGCCUCAUUUGUAGGAGCACAUUUAUUUAUAUGCAUAAUCUCUACACAAACAAAUAAUAUUGUAGGAUUUUGUAAACCAAAAUUGUAGGCAUGCGUACAGAGUACAUACCUUCUGCGGGGUCAGGUGCAACGUGUGCAUUGUCCAGGAGGCAAUUGUACAUAUCUAUAAGGUCUAUGGUAUAUGUUUCUCUAAUAUCAAUAUAUUCAUUAAUUCGUUCACUUCGCUAUUGUCGUGUUAUUUUGCUGUUGUUGUUUACUGCUGUUGUCGUUCAUUGCUGUUGUCAUUUACUGCUGUCGCUUCUUGUCGUUUUAUUUAAUAUAAAAACAUGAUUUGCCGGGGGAUUUCAUGCUUCGCAUAUGUAUUCGAAAUCCAUGCAAGAUGCGUCAUAAAAUAGAAAAUUGUAAUAAUGAAUUUUGUACUCAAAACAAAUCUUGUAAAAGAGUACAUCUCACCGAUUACGAACUUGAAGAAGUGAAUAAAAAUAUACGGCCUUUCCGGCAAUCCGUUACCAAAGAAAUGUAUCGAUUGGCAUAUAUUUUAAGAGAUUCUUAUCCACCAGAAUUGAGAAUACAUUGCUGUACAUUAAAUAUGUUGGGUCAAUGCAUAUGGACAUGUUUAGCUUGCAGUACAACUUCCAGUAAUAGUAAGUCUUUUAAUUAUUUAAAUAUAUUAAUAAAUUGUUAAGGGACUGCUAUGUAAGACAUAAAAAG